AGUUUGAUCCUGGCUCAGGAUGAACGCUAGCGGCAGGCUUAACACAUGCAAGUCAAGGGGCAGCGGGUCGAAUCAAUACGAUGCCGGCGACCGGCGCAAGGGUGCGUAACACGUGAGCAAUCUGCCCGUAUCAGGGGGAUAAGCGAUGGAAACGUCGUCUAAUACCGCAUAACAACGAUGGAGGCAUCUCCAAUGUUUGAAAGCUUCGGUGGAUACGGAUGAGCUCGCGAGACAUUAGUUAGUUGGCGGGGUAACGGCCCACCAAGUCGACGAUGGCUAGGGGAUCUGAGAGGACGGUCCCCCACACUGGUACUGAGACACGGACCAGACUCCUACGGGAGGCAGCAGUAAGAGAUAUUGGUCAAUGGGGGGAACCCUGAACCAGCCAUGCCGCGUGAGGGAAUAAGGCCCUACGGGUCGUAAACCUCUUUUGCCGGGGGAUAAGGACAUCCACGUGUGGGUGUUUGAAGGUACCCGGAGAAUAAGCAUCGGCUAACUCCGUGCCAGCAGCCGCGGUAAUACGGAGGAUGCGAGCGUUAUCCGGAUUUAUUGGGUUUAAAGGGUGCGCAGGCGGGCGAUUAAGUCAGCGGUGAAAGGCUCGGGCUCAACCGGAGCAGUGCCGUUGAUACUGGUUGUCUUGAAUGCGGUCAAGGCCGGCAGAAUGUGGCGUGUAGCGGUGAAAUUGCAUAGAUAUGCCACAGAACGCCGGAUAGAGAAGCCAGUCUGGCCCGGGCUUGCAUUGACGCUCAGGCAUGAAAGAGUGGGGAUCGAACAGGACUAGAUACCGUGGUAGCCCACGCUGUACACGAUGGACACUCGUUGUCGACGACAGACAGUCGGCGGGCCAAGCGAAAGUGAUAAGUGUCCCACGUCGGGAGUACGGUCGCAAGUUUGAAAUUCAAAGGAAUCAGUGGGGGUCCGCACAAGCGGGGGAACCAUGUGGUCUAAUUCGAUGAUACGCGAGGAUCCUUACCCGGGCUUGAAUGCAAGGCGAACGACACAGAGAUGUGAAGGUCAUUCGGGACGCCUCGUGAGGUGCUGCAUGGUUGUGGUCAGCUCGUGCCUUGAGGUGUCAGGUUAACUCUUAUAUACGAGCGCAACCCCUACCCCCAGUUGCCAUCGGUUCGGCCGGGCACUCCGAGGGAACUGCCCACGCAAGUGGAGAGGAAGGCGGGGAUGAUGUCAAAUCAGCACGUCCCUUAAGUCCGGGGCGACACACGCGGUACAAUGGCCGGCACAGAGGGCACCCAUCUGGUGACAGGGAGCGAAUCCAGAAAACCGGUCUCAGUCCGGAUUGGAGUGUGCAACUCGACUCCGUGAAGCAGGAAUAAUUAGUAAUCGAGCAUCAGCCAUGGGGCGGUGAAUAAGUUCCCGGCCCUAGCACACA
rnacentral:rRNA from 1 species